CAGGUCCGGCCACGCCCUCGCCAACCGCGCCAUCUCUCAGGCUCCCAGGGCUCCCCUUCAUACGACGUCGCCCCUGCUCUCCAGGCUCGGAUCGGUGGCCCGCGCUUUCAGCUCGAAGCCCUCAGCGGCCGAUGUCAUCGGGAUUGAUUUGGGCACGACCAACUCAUGUGUCUCCGUCAUGGAAGGAAAGGUGUGGUCUUUUUCCCCCUAACCACUCUGAAAUUUACCAUGAUCUCUUGCCUGGAAGACUGUUCUACUGUCCCCGCAAUUGCUGUAUCUGGAUGCAAUUAGUAAUGCAUCUUCUCAUGCUGUGAAGUUGAAUUUGAUCACUUUACCUUUAGUUGUUAGUAAAAUCGGUGACACUGCUAGUAAAACGUUGUGAAAUUGCAGUUUGAUGGCCACUAUAUCUCAAUUGGUAGUGAAUCGCAGACUGAAUCUGCUA